GCAAAGGAAAAAGUGAAGCUGCCAGCAUGAUCUAGCUUUGGUUAGAGAGAGCAGAAGAGUGCUAACCCUGACUAGGUCAUGCUGUGACAGCCUCACUCCUUCCUGUU
rnacentral:pre_miRNA from 1 species